AUACGGAGAGUGCGAGCGUUAUCCGGAUUUAUUAGGUUUAAAGGGUGUGUAGGCGGGAGCCUAAGUCAGUGGUGAAAUCUCACAGCUUAACUGUGAAACUGCCAUUGAAACUGGGUUUCUUGAGUAUAGUUGAGGUAGGCGGAAUGUGUAAUGUAGCGGUGAAAUGCAUAGAUAUUACACAGAACACCGAUUGCGAAGGCAGCUUACUAAGCUAUUACUGACGCUGAUGCACGAAAGCGUGGGUAGCGAACAGGAUUAGAAACCCGUGUAGUCC
rnacentral:rRNA from 1 species